rnacentral:rRNA from 1 species
UCCAGACUCCUACGGGAGGCAGCAGUGGGGGAUAUUGCACAAUGGGGGAAACCCUGAUGCAGCGACGCCGCGUGAGUGAAGAAGUAUUUCGGUAUGUAAAGCUCUAUCAGCAGGGAAGAAAAAAGACGGUACCUGACUAAGAAGCCCCGGCUAACUACGUGCCAGCAGCCGCGGUAAUACGUAGGGGGCAAGCGUUAUCCGGAUUUACUGGGUGUAAAGGGAGCGUAGACGGCAAUACAAGUCGGAAGUGAAAUACCCGGGCUCAACCUGGGAACUGCUUUGGAAACUGUAUGGCUGGAGUGCUGGAGAGGUAAGCGGAAUUCCUAGUGUAGCGGUGAAAUGCGUAGAUAUUAGGAGGAACACCAGUGGCGAAGGCGGCUUACUGGACAGUAACUGACGUUGAGGCUCGAAAGCGUGGGGAGCAAACAGGAUUAGAUACCCCAGUAAC